GACAGAGGUGCCGAGCGUUAGGCGGAAUCACUGGGCUUAAAGCGUGUGUAGGCGGGUCGUUAAGUGUCUUGUGAAAUCCCCCGGCUCAACCGGGGAAUGGCUGGGCAUACUGGCGAUCUUGAGCAGUCUAGGGGCAGAUGGAACAAGUGGUGGAGCGGUGAAAUGCGUAGAUAUCACUUGGAACGCCAAAGGUGAAGACAGUCUGCUGGGGAUUUGCUGACGCUGAGACACGAAAGCCAGGGGAGCGAACGGG
rnacentral:rRNA from 1 species